rnacentral:rRNA from 1 species
GAUGAACGCUGGCGGCGUGCCUAAUACAUGCAAGUCGAGCGAACGGACGAGAAGCUUGCUUCUCUGAUGUUAGCGGCGGACGGGUGAGUAACACGUGGAUAACCUACCUAUAAGACUGGGAUAACAUCGGGAAACCGUAGCUAAUACCGGAUAAUAUUUUGAACCGCAUGGUUCAAAAGUGAAAGACGGUCUUGCUGUCACUUAUAGAUGGAUCCGCGCUGCAUUAGCUAGUUGGUAAGGUAACGGCUUACCAAGGCAACGAUGCAUAGCCGACCUGAGAGGGUGAUCGGCCACACUGGAACUGAGACACGGUCCAGACUCCUACGGGAGGCAGCAGUAGGGAAUCUUCCGCAAUGGGCGAAAGCCUGACGGAGCAACGCCGCGUGAGUGAUGAAGGUCUUCGGAUCGUAAAACUCUGUUAUUAGUGAAGAACAUAUGUGUAAGUAACUGUGCACAUCUUGACGGUACCUAAUCAGAAAGCCACGGCUAACUACGUG